rnacentral:rRNA from 1 species
CGGUACGUACCGGCAUUGUUGGUUUCUCCCUUCUGACGAACCAUGAUGUCAUUUAUUUGGUGUUGUGGGGAAUCAGGACUGUUACUUUGAAAAAAUUAGAGUGUUUAAAGCAGGCUCACGCUUGAAUACAUUAGCAUGGAAUAAUGAAAUAGGACGUUUGAUUCUAUUUUGUUGGUUUCUAGGAUCGACGUAAUGAUUAAUAGGGAUAGUUGGGGGCAUUAGUAUUCAAUUGUCAGAGGUGAAAUUCUUGGAUUUAUUGAAGACUAACUACUGCGAAAGCAUUUGCCAAGGAUGUUUUCAUUAAUCAAGAACGAAAGUUAGGGGAUCGAAGACGAUCAGAUACCGUCGUAGUCUUAACCAUAAACUAUGCCGACUAGGGAUCGGAUGAUGUUAAUUUUUUAAUGACUCAUUCGGCGCCUUACG